rnacentral:rRNA from 1 species
AUUGAACGCUGGCGGCAUGCCUUACACAUGCAAGUCGAACGGUAACAGGUCUUCGGAUGCUGACGAGUGGCGAACGGGUGAGUAAUACAUCGGAACGUGCCCGAUCGUGGGGGAUAACGAAGCGAAAGCUUUGCUAAUACCGCAUACGAUCUACGGAUGAAAGCAGGGGACCGCAAGGCCUUGCGCGAACGGAGCGGCCGAUGGCAGAUUAGGUAGUUGGUGGGAUAAAAGCUUACCAAGCCGACGAUCUGUAGCUGGUCUGAGAGGACGACCAGCCACACUGGGACUGAGACACGGCCCAGACUCCUACGGGAGGCAGCAGUGGGGAAUUUUGGACAAUGGGCGAAAGCCUGAUCCAGCCAUGCCGCGUGCAGGAUGAAGGCCUCGGUUGU